GACGAACGCUGGCGGCGUGCUUAACACAUGCCAGUCGAACGGAAAGGCCCUGCUUUUGUGGGGUGCUCGAGUGGCGAACGGGUGAGUAACACGUGAGUAACCUGCCCUUGACUUUGGGAUAACUUCAGGAAACUGGGGCUAAUACCGGAUAGCAGCUCCUGCUGCAUGGUGGGGGGUGGAAAGUUUCGGCGGUUGUGGAUGGACUAGCGGGUUAUCGGCUUGUUGGUGGGGUAGUGGUUUACCAAGGCAUUGACGGGUAGCCGGCCUGGGAGGGUGAACGGCCACAUUGGGCCUGAGAUACGGCCCAGACUCCUACGGGAGGCAGCAGGGGGGAAUAUUGCACAAUGGGCGGAAGCCUGAUGCGGCAACGCCGCGUUCGUGAUGACGGCCUUCGGGUUGUAAACCGCUUUCGCCUGUGACGAAGCGGUAGUGACGGUAAUGGGUAAAGAAGCACCGGCUAACUACGUG
rnacentral:rRNA from 1 species